rnacentral:rRNA from 1 species
UACGGAGGGGGCUAGCGUUGUUCGGAAUUACUGGGCGUAAAGCGCACGUAGGCGGCUUUGUAAGUUAGAGGUGAAAGCCCGGAGCUCAACCCCGGAAUUGCCUUUAAGACUGCAUCGCUUGAACGUCGGAGAGGUGAGUGGAAUUCCGAGUGUAGAGGUGAAAUUCGUAGAUAUUCGGAAGAACACCAGUGGCGAAGGCGGCUCACUGGACGACUGUUGACGCUGAGGUGCGAAAGCGUGGGGAGCAAACAGG